CUGACGAGCGGCGGACGGGUGAGUAAUGCAUAGGAAACUGCCCAGUAGUGGGGGAUAGCCCGGGGAAACCCGGAUUAAUACCGCGUACGCCCUUCGGGGGAAAGCAGGGGAUCUUCGGACCUUGCGCUAUUGGAUGUGCCUAUGUCGGAUUAGCUAGUUGGUGGGGUAAAGGCCUACCAAGGCGACGAUCCGUAGCUGGUCUGAGAGGAUGAUCAGCCACAUCGGGACUGAGACACGGCCCGAACUCCUACGGGAGGCAGCAGUGGGGAAUAUUGGACAAUGGGGGCAACCCUGAUCCAGCCAUGCCGCGUGUGUGAAGAAGGCUUUCGGGUUGUAAAGCACUUUCAGUGAGGAGGAAAAGUUGGUCGUUAAUACCGGCCAGCCUUGACGUUACUCACAGAAGAAGCACCGGCUAACUCCGUGCCAGCAGCCGCGGUAAUACGGAGGGUGCAAGCGUUAAUCGGAAUUACUGGGCGUAAAGCGCGCGUAGGUGGUUUGAUAAGCGAGAUGUGAAAGCCCCGGGCU
rnacentral:rRNA from 1 species